UAGUUUACCUCAUAUUUAUUCAGGAAAGUUGAAACAUUACUCACUUAUCCAUCCGUUUCCUUCCUUUUUGUAGCAUACGUUUUACUGUUAUUUCCUGGUUAAUGUGUUUAUUAUAUGUUUUGCACGAUUAAAGCUUUGGGUUUGUAUCUGUAAUUUUUCUUCAGCUAUUAUGAGUCCACUACACAGUCAAGCAGGUCUUCUUGUCGUGUGUGUGUUUGCUUAUCAAGUAAUUGGUCAAGAAAUCCAAAAAACUAUCGUUGGCUGCAUAAGUGACAAUGUUACUUUGUCCUUUGAUCUACCUGAGAAGAAGGACCAUACUGUAGAUAGUUAUAUUUGGUACAAACAGGAUGUAUCGGGGGAUCCCAGCUUCGCCAAAUAUACUGUAGCAGAAAACAAGUUUGAAAUCUACAGAGAUGCCCAAGAUCGGCUCCUCCACAAUCAUAAUGAUCCAUUACAGCUAAGAAAUUUAGUUUUACUGAAUGUGCAGAAAAGUGACGUUUCUAAAUAUUUUCUGGUGAUUAAUUAUGUCAACGUCACACAGCAGACAUCGGAGUAUCUCUUACGAUUGUCAGUAAAAGAUCUUUGCUUUGGAAAACCCGAGCAAGUAGAUGGAUGUGUAGUAUCAACAUGUUUUACAGGAGAGAACGGAAACCUAACAACGUUUUACGGUGACGAAAAAGGCACGACACAAACAGUGAAUGGUUACACAGAGGUGAGAAACUGUACAAGUGGUGUCUCUGUUGGCUACUCCUGCUGUAAUACAGCCGGAAACUGUGAGGAACAAAUGCUCAUUGUGCCCGAAGAAACUACAGUCGUUGAGCAAAAGAUCACAAAGGAUCACUCAAAAAAUGUGGGAUCUUCACAUGGGACAGGAGUCAGUAUGGUAUUUGGAGUUUUGAUUGGCCUAGAACUUAUCGUUAUCACUACGUGGCCUUAGUGAAACAGAAGUAAAUGAAGGUGAAAAGAAAAAGAUGGAAACAGUCAAUGUGCUUUUUCUCCAGGACUACGAAAGUUAAAAAAGGGACCCUGUAAUUUCUUUUUAAACUUAAGACUAUUGGACACAUACCAACUAUGCGUGCUGCGCUUCCUAUACAAUGUUCAAGUCGCUACAGAGAAUGACGUUUAAAACUUAUUUCUUUUCUGCAUUAGGAAAAAUUUGUCACGGAUUCUGUAUUUAGCUCACCUCAGCUGAGAGCUCAAGUGAUCUUUUCUGAUAACAUUUUGUCUGGCGCCCAUCUGUAUGUCUGUCUUUCUGUAAACUUUUCACAUUUUUGACUUCUUCUCCAGAACCACUGGGGCAAUUUUAACAAAACUUGCCACAAAGCAUUCUUGGUUGAAGGGGAUUCACAUUUGUUCAAAUGAAGAGCCACGCCCUUAUUCAAGGGGAGAUAAUUCAGAAAUUGUGAAAAUUUUGUAGCAUGUUUUAAAAAUCUUCUUCUCAAGAACCACUGUGCCAAGAAAGAUGAAACUUAAGGGGAAACAUCCUUAUUUAGUGUAGAUUCAACUUUGUUCAAAUCAUACCCUCUCCCCUUUAAGGAUUGGUUGGGGCCACUUUUGGGUUUAAACUUUUCAAUAUUAAACUGAUUUCUGCUUUUUUCUUAGCCACAGUGCUCAGGUGAGCGAUGUGUCCCAUGGGCCUCUUAUUAUUUUUACUUCUACAUUGUAGAUCUCACACUCCUAGUAUAUUGACAAGUAUUUUUUUCCUUUUUCUUUAGAUGGUUUGUUUUCUUUUUCAUGGGACGAGAGAUACGUUGUUGUUGUUGUUU